GCCAGUGUGCUGUAGUGGUUUGGACAUCUGGCUAUUGACUCUGGAGACCAGGGUUUGAUUCCCUGCAUGGCC